rnacentral:rRNA from 1 species
UGCCGCGUGUGUGAAGAAGGCCCCGGGUUGUAAAGCCUUUUGUCAGGGAAGAAACACCGGCCUAACACAGUCCGGGAAUGACGGUACCUGAAGAAUAAGCACCGGCUUACUUCGUGCCAGCAGCCGCGGUAAUACGUAGGGUGCGAGCGUUAAUCGGAAUUACUGGGCGUAAAGCGUGCGCAGGCGGUUAUACAAGACAGGCGUGAAAUCCCCGGGCUUAACCUGGGAAUGGCGCCUGUGACUGUAUAGCUUGAGUGUGUCAGAGGGGGGUAGAAUUCCACGUGUAGCAGUGAAAUGCGUAGAUAUGUGGAGGAAUACCAAUGGCGAAGGCAGCCCCCUGGGAUAACACUGACGCUCAUGCACGAAAGCGUGGGGAGCAAACAGGAUUAGAUACCCUGGUAGUCCACGCCCUAAACGAUGCUGACUAGUUGUUCGGGAUUUACAUCCUGAGUAACGUAGCUCACGCGUGAAGUCAGCCGCCUGGGGAGUACGGUCGCAAGAUUAAAACUCAAAGGAAUUGACGGGGACCCGCACAAGCGGUGGAUGAUGUGGAUUAAUUCUAUGCAACGCGAAAAACCUUACCUACCCUUGACAUGUCACUAACGAAGUAGAGAUAC